AUGCAUGUUCAGGCUGUUAGUGCCUUUGCUGUCGGUGCCUCACCUCUCAUCAGGAGAAAAAUGCUUGCAAGCAGCUUAUUUCCCUAUUGCUGCAGUUAGAUUGUUCACUCUUAAACUUCUAUACAGUUUGAAGCCUACGAAUACAUUUCUCUUGCACACGGGACAUUUUGUUAUGAUCUGAGUUGUCUUCAGAAAUCCACUCUGCCCCCAAGUCCCCCGUGCUGCUAGGAGGAGCCCCUUGUCUCCUUCUGAGUCGGCCCUGGGCCUCUUUUUGAUGAGGACCCCACUCCCUUACAGCAGCAGCAGGAGUCGUCGGCUGGGGCAGAGGCUUCUGAGAGGACCUCACGCUUUGGGGAACCUCUGGAUUUGGGUUUUGCUUUUGUUUUGAAUUGCUGUGAACUUUGUGUAGCCAGCACAGACGCUGUCCUCGGGAAGGUGUCUCCAGCUCCGCAUCUUCCGCCCAGAGGCCUGGCCCCGCAGGCGUGUCCUCUUGCCCCAGGCCUGCAGCUUGGGAGCAGGAGCAGCCCUGCCCCAUGUGCUCUGGGGAGGCGAGUGGCCAGGGACGGCGCGUCCCAUCUCUCCAGGACCUGGGGCCCAGGUGGCUUCCUCCACCACCCAAGCCACCCCUGGGCAUGGGAGGAAAGUCAUGUCCUGCUUCGCUGGGCCCGCAUGGGGGCCAGGCCGGGGGCCUGCUCGGCUGGUGCUGAUGAAGGGGCCGAGUGUCCUGGCUCGUGCUGACAUGGCCUGGCUCUGAGGCAGCCUGGCCUUGGGCCAGCUGUGUGCAGUGAGCAGCUGGAGGCCCUGAUGAAGGGCACCUGCUCACCCCACCUGCUGAGUGCACAGCCUCCUUCUCCACAUAGAAUGAUGCCGACUGACCUCGUGGCCCAGCAGCCCACAGAGUUGGGCUGCCCAGAGGAUGGUGGGACCAAGGCGGACCCCGAGGAGCUGGCCAGGCUCUCCGGGGGACACUGCAGGGCCAAAGAGAUGCUGGUUUCAGAUCCUGCUCUUGGAAACGUUUCACCACUGUCAGCAGGCGAAGAAGUAAAGCACAGGCAUGUGUGCUGGCCAUAGACGGCAGAGUGUGACUGUCACAGGACGAAGGCUGCUGCCCAAAAGCGUGACUUGUUUGCAGCCAGGAAGUGUAAAGAUAGAAGGAGUCAGCUCAGGGAAAACAGAAUCACAUGCACAUAAAGCUGAAGCUCUGUUGGGAAGCCUUCAGGACAGGAGGACACCAACGGACAGGGGGCCUCCCCCUGAAGAAAAGCCCCCUGCGUUUGGGGAUGAAAAGGUGGAGUAACAGGAUUUUGCCACCAUUUCAGAAGCGCCCCUGCCCC